AUUGAACGCUGGCGGCAGGCUUAACACAUGCAAGUCGAGCGGAGAUGAGGUGCUUGCACCUUAUCUUAGCGGCGGACGGGUGAGUAAUGCUUAGGAAUCUGCCUAUUAGUGGGGGACAACAUUCCGAAAGGAAUGCUAAUACCGCAUACGUCCUACGGGAGAAAGCAGGGGAUCUUCGGACCUUGCGCUAAUAGAUGAGCCUAAGUCGGAUUAGCUAGUUGGUGGGGUAAAGGCCUACCAAGGCGACGAUCUGUAGCGGGUCUGAGAGGAUGAUCCGCAAGACUGGGACUGGGACACGGCCAAGAUUCCUACGGGAGGCAGCAGUGGGGAAUAUUGGACAAUGGGGGAAACCCUGAUCCAGCCAUGCCGCGUGUGUGAAGAAGGCCUUAUGGUUGUAAAGCACUUUAAGCGAGGAGGAGGCUACUGAGACUAAUACUCUUGGAUAGUGGACGUUACUCGCAGAAUAAGCACCGGCUAACUCUGUGCCAGCAGCCGCCGUAAUAC
rnacentral:rRNA from 1 species